rnacentral:rRNA from 1 species
AACAGAUGAUGCCUAUCAACUGUUUAAAAAAGUAUGGUUCUGCUAUCACUCUUGGAUGGACCUGCGGUGCAUUAGCUAGUUGGUAGGGUAACGGGCCGUACCAAGGCGAUGAUGCAUAGCCGAGUUGAGAGACUGAUCGGCCACAUUGGGACUGAGACACGGCCCAAACUCCUACGGGAGGCAGCAGUAGGGAAUCUUCCACAAUGGACGCAAGUCUGAUGGAGCAACGCCGCGUGAGUGAAGAAGGGUUUCGGCUCGUAAAGCUCUGUUGUUGGUGAAGAAGGACAGGGGUAGUAACUGACCUUUGUUUGACGGUAAUCAAUUAGAAAGUCACGGCUAACUACGUGCCAGCAGCCGCGGUAAAAU